GACGAACGCUGGCGGCGUGCCUAAUACAUGCAAGUAGAACGCUGAAGAGAGGAGCUUGCUCUUCUUGGAUGAGUUGCGAACGGGUGAGUAACGCGUAGGUAACCUGCCUUGUAGCGGGGGAUAACUAUUGGAAACGAUAGCUAAUACCGCAUAACAAUGGAUGACACAUGUCAUUUAUUUGAAAGGGGCAAUUGCUCCACUACAAGAUGGACCUGCGUUGUAUUAGCUAGUAGGUGAGGUAACGGCUCACCUAGGCGACGAUACAUAGCCGACCUGAGAGGGUGAUCGGCCACACUGGGACUGAGACACGGCCCAGACUCCUACGGGAGGCAGCAGUAGGGAAUCUUCGGCAAUGGGGGCAACCCUGACCGAGCAACGCCGCGUGAGUGAAGAAGGUUUUCGGAUCGUAAAGCUCUGUUGUAAGUCAAGAACGAGUGUGAGAGUGGAAAGUUCACACUGUGACGGUAGCUUACCAGAAAGGGACGGCUAACUACGUGCCAGCAGCCGCGGUAAUACGUAGGUCCCGAGCGUUGUCCGGAUUUAUUGGGCGUAAAGCGAGCGCAGGCGGUUUGAUAAGUCUGAAGUUAAAGGCUGUGGCUCAACCAUAGUUCGCUUUGGAAACUGUCAAACUUGAGUGCAGAAGGGGAGAGUGGAAUUCCAUGUGUAGCGGUGAAAUGCGUAGAUAUAUGGAGGAACACCGGUGGCGAAAGCGGCUCUCUGGUCUGUAACUGACGCUGAGGCUCGAAAGCGUGGGGAGCGAACAGGAUUAGAUACCCUGGUAGUCCACGCCGUAAACGAUGAGUGCUAGGUGUUGGAUCCUUUCCGGGAUUCAGUGCCGCAGCUAACGCAUUAAGCACUCCGCCUGGGGAGUACGACCGCAAGGUUGAAACUCAAAGGAAUUGACGGGGGCCCGCACAAGCGGUGGAGCAUGUGGUUUAAUUCGAAGCAACGCGAAGAACCUUACCAGGUCUUGACAUCCCGAUGCUAUUUCUAGAGAUAGGAAGUUACUUCGGUACAUCGGUGACAGGUGGUGCAUGGUUGUCGUCAGCUCGUGUCGUGAGAUGUUGGGUUAAGUCCCGCAACGAGCGCAACCCCUAUUGUUAGUUGCCAUCAUUCAGUUGGGCACUCUAGCGAGACUGCCGGUAAUAAACCGGAGGAAGGUGGGGAUGACGUCAAAUCAUCAUGCCCCUUAUGACCUGGGCUACACACGUGCUACAAUGGUUGGUACAACGAGUUGCGAGUCGGUGACGGCAAGCUAAUCUCUUAAAGCCAAUCUCAGUUCGGAUUGUAGGCUGCAACUCGCCUACAUGAAGUCGGAAUCGCUAGUAAUCGCGGAUCAGCACGCCGCGGUGAAUACGUUCCCGGGCCU
rnacentral:rRNA from 1 species